AAAAUCACUAGUAUGUAGGAAAAACACAUCAAAAAUAAUUCAUGGCUAAAAAAUAGCAACAAACUUAGUAAUAGAUAACUAACUGAUUAACAUAAUAUUAACAAUUAAAAAAUAAAAAUGAUUCUGUCAAUCUUCUAGAAACCAUCGGGCUGGUGUUGUAAGCUUUAACAUGUUCAUCCCUUCUUUGUUGGUGACAUGAUUUGGGUUUGAUUAAUGAGGAACAUGCCAUGUUUAAUUGAUUGAAUCAAUGCUAAAAAAUUUGUUAAUUUGCUAUUAUUUUAACUCUUAAAAUUUAUUAUAAAAAUUUGUGAGAAAUUUAUUUAUGAAUUGAAAUGUUUCUUAGAUUUAUUCAUGGUUUAAAAAUUU
rnacentral:misc_RNA from 1 species